rnacentral:lncRNA from 1 species
UUUUCUCUCUUUUUUUUCCUUCUUUUUUCCCGCUUUUUUACAAUGUUUUUUUUUUCUUUUUUUAAUAAUAAUUAUUUGAAAUAAUUAUGCAUAUUAAUAAUUAUACAUAUCAAUAAUUAAUUUUAUACUUAUUAAUAAUUACUUUUUCUUACAAUAAUAAUUAUUUGAUCAAACAACUAAAAGCAUAAAUUCUCAUGAAUAAGACAUAUCAAUAAUUAUGUUUAUACAUAUUAAUAAUUACUUUUUCUUACAAUAAUAAUUAAUUGAUUAAAUAAU